rnacentral:rRNA from 1 species
GGGUGAGUAACACGUGGGCAAUCUGCCCUUCACUCUGGGACAAGCCCUGGAAACGGGGUCUAAUACCGGAUAUGAGCCUGGGAGGCAUCUCCCGGGUUGUACAAGCUCCGGCGGUGAAGGAUGAGCCCGCGGCCUAUCAGCUUGUUGGUGAGGUAAUGGCUCACCAAGGCGACGACGGGUAGCCGGCCUGAGAGGGCGACCGGCCACACUGGGACUGAGACACGGCCCAGACUCCUACGGGAGGCAGCAGUGGGGAAUAUUGCACAAUGGGCGAAAGCCUGAUGCAGCGACGCCGCGUGAGGGAUGACGGCCUUCGGGUUGUAAACCUCUUUCAGCAGGGAAGAAGCGAAAGUGACGGUACCUGCAGAAGAAGCGCCGGCUAACUACGUGCCAGCAGCCGCGGUAAUACGUAGGGCGCAAGCGUUGUCCGGAAUUAUUGGGCGUAAAGAGCUCGUAGGCGGCUUGUCACGUCGAUUGUGAAAGCCCGAGGCUUAACCUCGGGUCUGCAGUCGAUACGGGCUAGCUAGAGUGUGGUAGGGGAGAUCGGAAUUCCUGGUGUAGCGGUGAAAUGCGCAGAUAUCAGGAGGAACACCGGUGGCGAAGGCGGAUCUCUGGGCCAUUACUGACGCUGAGGAGCGAAAGCGUGGGGAGCGAACAGGAUAAGAUACCCUGGUAGUCCACGCCGUAAACGGUGGGAACUAGGUGUUGGCGACAUUCCACGUCGUCGGUGCCGCAGCUAACGCAUUAAGUUCCCCGCCUGGGGAGUACGGCCGCAAGGCUAAAACUCAAAGGAAUUGACGGUGGCCCGCACAAGCGGCGGAGCAUGUGGCUUAAUUCGACGCAACGCGAAGAACCUUACCAAGGCUUGACAUACACCGGAAACGUCUGGAGACAGGCGCCCCCUUGUGGUCGGUGUACAGGUGGUGCAUGGCUGUCGUCAGCUCGUGUCGUGAGAUGUUGGGUUAAGUCCCGCAACGAGCGCAACCCUUGUCCCGUGUUGCCAGCAGGCCCUUGUGGUGCUGGGGACUCACGGGAGACCGCCGGGGUCAACUCGGAGGAAGGUGGGGACGACGUCAAGUCAUCAUGCCCCUUAUGUCUUGGGCUGCACACGUGCUACAAUGGCCGGUACAAUGAGCUGCGAUACCGUGAGGUGGAGCGAAUCUCAAAAAGCCGGUCUCAGUUCGGAUUGGGGUCUGCAACUCGACCCCAUGAAGUCGGAGUCGCUAGUAAUCGCAGAUCAGCAUUGCUGCGGUGAAUACGUUCCCGGGCCUUGUACACACCGCCCGUC